rnacentral:rRNA from 1 species
AGAGUUUGAUCCUGGCUCAGAGUGAACGCUGGCGGCGUGCCUAACACAUGCAAGUCGCGCGGGACUCUGCAGAGUAUCGCAGAGUUUAGCGGCAAACGGGUGAGUAACACGUGGGAAACCUCCCUCAGAAUGGGGAAUAUCUCCGGGAAAUCGGAGUUAAUACCGCAUAAGACCACAGCUUGGCAUCAAGCAGAGGUCAAAGCAGCAAUGCGUUUUGAGAUGGUCCUGCGUCCUAUCAGCUUGUUGGUGAGGUAACAGCUUACCAAGGCUAUGACGGGUAUCCGGCCUGAAAGGGUGAACGGACACACUGGAACUGAGACACGGUCCAGACUCCUACGGGAGGCAGCAGUGGGGAAUUUUGGACAAUGGGGGAAACCCUGAUCCAGCGACGCCGCGUGGAGGAUGAAGGCUUUCGAGUUGUAAACUCCUUUUAGAGGGGAAGAAAUAAAUGACGGUACCCUCAGAAAAAGCCACGGCUAACUACGUGCCAGCAGCCGCGGUAAUACGUAGGUGGCGAGCGUUACUCGGAAUUACUAGGCGUAAAGCGUAUGCAGGCGGUCGUAUAAGUCUUUAGUAAAAUUUUCCGGCUCAACCGGGAAAAGCCUAAGGAUACUGUUCGGCUUGAGUGUGGGAGAGGGAGACGGAAUUCCUGGUGUAGCGGUGAAAUGCAGAUAUCAGGAGGAACACCGAUGGCGAAAGCAGUCUCCUGGACCAAUACUGACGCUGAUAUACGAAAGCUAGGGUAGCAAACAGGAUUAGAUACCCUAGUAGUCC